AGAUGCUUUCCACACUUUUUUCCACAUCAGGAAAUCAUGGAUAUGGACACCAUACACCACUGUUUCCUGGAUUACAGACCUAUAUGUCACUACAAGAAGAAGAGCGAAUACAUAUAAGAAGCUUGUGAGAAAUUUCCUCUAAUUGACCAUAUUAAGGAAAAGCAAACCAUAUAAAGACUACUGAAAUUGUUAAUUUAUCUGCAGUCCUAAACAAGACUCAGCCGCAGCUGGCACACAGGCUUGCAGGAUCCUAGCAAGUAUUCAGAGUUGCAACACUGCCCACUGGAGAUGCAGAUGGUCUGUGACCAGCAGACUGGGACUGCAGACAGACCUCAACACUGUUUUUAUGUGGUUUGACUGACAGCAUUCAGGUUAUGCACUAGAACCUGCAUUUGCAAUGGAUAGAAAUUCUGGACAGUUAAGGGGCUUCAAAUGAUUUGGAGCAGACAGAACUGCUGCUGUUUAGAAAAAGUUCUAGAGACAGAUCUAUUUUUGUGAACCCUGCUGUUGCAUAACAUUGGAGCAUGGAUAAAUCUGAAAAAAUGGAUGCCACUCCCUGAAAUGUUAAGUGAAAGGAAGCAGGAUUUUGCAAAAAAUUUCCAUUCAAGUAUGUACCAAAAGGGCAUGUGUUUUAUAUCCAGCAGCAGUAAGGCAUAUUUAUUCCACUGUGUGCAUGAGUGCGGGUAACAUAACUGGGAGCCAGUCACAAUGCCCUUUCCACUUUGUUAAGUGAGAGGGAAGUCCUGUAUAGAAAAAAAGUUGAGAACCACUAGAAUAUGAGCAGUUCAUACAAGGUCACAUUUGACUUUAUGCAAGUCCAACAUGUAAAACAAAAUUGUUCCAUGUGGGAGGGUUAGCUAUAGUUGCCUAGAUCUUCCUAGAGAAUAGGCUGCAUUCAUAAAGCACUAGGAAUGAGGAAAACAUUUAUGAGUAUCUGUGGUUGGUUAGAAGCUUUGCUUAUUCCCCAGCAGGACUUUCUGGCUUUGCUUAACAGUGCAGAGAGAUCCAGGAUGUCUUAACCUCAUUUCCAAACCUGGGUAUAGUCUCACACUGGACUGAACAUGCUUUUUUCCUCCCCAUCUGAUUUUUUUUAAACAGACAGAACAGGUAUGGCAUCAAAGCUUCUUUAAGAAUGGAAGGGCUGGUGGCAUAACUGGAGGUGGGAAAUCAAACCUAGAAAUAGCCCAGGCACAAAGCUUGCCCAAUCAGCAAGGCAAUGUAGUUAGCCAUAUUAGUCUGACAUCAAAUAGAAGGCAGGGUAGUUUUGCACAUUAUAAAUUUUAUCUAUCUAUCUACCUACCUACCUACCUAGAUAUAUAUCUGUCUAUAUAUCUAUCUAUCUAUCUCACAAGCCCAAUGCCCCUGGAGCAAGAUUACCUUUCUGCUAACCUUGAAGGCUGUAGAAAUCAUGACUCCUGCUACCUGAGUUAAUAAUUUGGUACUCUCUCCACAAUGAUCGUAAUUGCGUAAUCAGGGCUAAACUUAUGACUUUAGAGCAGCUCAGAGAGAUGAGUACAGCUUGUGUAAACAUACCCUGAGCUAGUUUUAAACUAACUGGUUUGGGUCAGAGUCUAGACAAAGACGCACAAGCCUUUAGGAGGGACUGCCCAAGCCUGCCCACAACCCUGGAUAAGGACUGUCAUUGAAACUGGUGCUUCACUGCUAUCAGUACCUGAACUAACCAGACGUACCAAAUCUAAUUAAAUUGGCAUGUCUACACAAGCUGUAGUCACACCUCUGGAUUACACUUCAGGAAGUGUCUGAAAACCUUUCUUUGGUAUAGGCUUUAUCAAUGUUGUAGACUUGUGACAUAAAAUCUAAACAUCUUUCAGUUUUAAUGGUGGCCUGAGCAGCACUGGCAAUAUUACUGUAAUAUAUUUAAAUUGAAAAAUCAGUUCAAUUAAGUCACACACUAAAUAUUUCUGCAACUGUCCAGGUAUGAUUCAUAAUGUAGUAGAGUCUAUUUAAAGACUGGCUACAGAGGCAUGAGAACUGGGGUGACGGCUAGCAUUCUCAGGCUCGCAACUUCCACAAAUGAUAAAGCCUAACCAGAACCAGACAUCUGCCAUUUGCAAACUGGCUCUUGCUCAUUUCUCAACACACUCUACUCCGGAGCUUUGGAUUAUCUCUGUGUAAGGAGUUUGACAAUACGAUGCCUGAAAGAGGCCAUACAAAUCCGACUUGUAUUGAUAAAGGCAAAACAGAACCCUGCAUAUCGGCAGGUCUCAACUCUGUCACACCAAAAUGUCAAAAAAAUAAGUUAAUUCAAUAAAUUAUUAUACAAUA